GCUUCCCUACGGGAGGCAGCAGUCGGGAAUAUUGCGCAAUGGAGGAAACUCUGACGCAGUGACGCCGCGUGCAGGAAGAAGGUUUUCGGAUUGUAAACUGCUUUAGACAGGGAAGAAAAAAGACAGUACCUGUAGAAUAAGCUCCGGCUAACUACGUGCCAGCAGCCGCGGUAAUACGUAGGGAGCAAGCGUUAUCCGGAUUUAUUGGGUGUAAAGGGUGCGUAGACGGGAAUGCAAGUUGGUUGUGAAAUCCCUCGGCUUAACUGAGGAACUGCAUCGGAAACUGUUUUUCUUGAGUGCAGAAG
rnacentral:rRNA from 1 species